UUUUACCUCAAAACAGGGAGGACUACCCCCUGAAAUUAAACAUAUCAAUAAUCGGAGGAAAAGAACC
rnacentral:rRNA from 1 species